rnacentral:misc_RNA from 1 species
UUUCCGUAGGUGAACCUGCGGAAGGAUCAUUCAUAAUAAGUGUUUUAUGGCACUUUUUUAAAUCCAUAUCCACCUUGUGUGCAAUGUCAGGGUUGAUUUUUCUCUCGAGAGGAUCAACCCCAAACAUCAACUAUAUCUCAACUCUUUGUCUGAAAAAUAUUAUGAAUAAAACAAUUCAAAAUACAACUUUCAACAACGGAUCUCUUGGUUCUG